rnacentral:rRNA from 1 species
CAAAGAUUAAGCCAUGCAUGUCUAAGUACAUACCUUAACACGGUGAAACUGCGAAUGGCUCAUUAAAUCAUAUGUUAUUUCUUAGAUCGUACAAUCCUACUUGGAUAACUGUGGUAAUUCUAGAGCUAAUACAUGCAUCAAAGCUCCGACCUCCGGGGAAGAGCGCUUUUAUUAGACCAAAACCAAUCGUCCUCUCGGGGGCGUCCCGUUGGUGACUCUGAAUAACUUUAAGCUGAUCGCAUGGCCUCGUGCCGGCGACGUAUCUUUCAAGUGUAUGCCCUAUCAAUUGUCGAAGGUAAGUGACUUGCUUACCUUGAUGAUAACGGGUAGCGGGGAAUCAGGGUUCGAUUCCGGAGAGGGAGCAUGAGAAACGGCUACCACAUCC